AAGUCGUAACAAGGUUUCCGUAGGUGAACCUGCGGAAGGAUCAUUAACACGUUAUCCACGUAUCAACCAACGCGAAUCGUUUUCAAUAUCUCCCUCUAAGCAAUGGAUGGGCUGAAUUCCGACUAGGGUAUGCCGUUAGCAGGCGUGUAAAAGCGUCUAACCUUGAGGAAUAACUGAAGUAGUUAGCAAUAAUUAUUUCGACAGCUGUACCAUAGACGAGGCUUAACCCGGUCUGCUUUACGUUCGCCGAGCUGCGGAAGCAUUCCAACCUAUAUAACUUAUUUCACCCCCUUUUUGCUAGUUGACUUUUAUAUGUUGUUCUUUACGAAAGUAUGGAGCACACGUUUAUUUAUUUGAACGCCAAAAAUACAACUCUUAGCAAUGGAUAUCUUGGUUCUC
rnacentral:misc_RNA from 1 species